UGGCUCAGGACGAACGCUGGCGGCGUGCUUAACACAUGCAAGUCGAACGGAAAGGCCCCUUCGGGGGUACUCGAGUGGCGAACGGGUGAGUAACACGUGGGCAAUCUGCCCUGCACUUCGGGAUAAGCCUGGGAAACUGGGUCUAAUACCGGAUAGGACCUUUAGACGCAUGUCUUUUGGUGGAAAGCUUUUGCGGUGUGGGAUGGGCCCGCGGCCUAUCAGCUUGUUGGUGGGGUGAUGGCCUACCAAGGCGACGACGGGUAGCCGGCCUGAGAGGGUGUCCGGCCACACUGGGACUGAGAUACGGCCCAGACUCCUACGGGAGGCAGCAGUGGGGAAUAUUGCACAAUGGGCGCAAGCCUGAUGCAGCGACGCCGCGUGGGGGAUGACGGCCUUCGGGUUGUAAACCUCUUUCACCAUCGACGAAGGUUCGGGUUUUCUCGGACUGACGGUAGGUGGAGAAGAAGCACCGGCCAACUACGUGCCAGCAGCCGCGGUAAUACGUAGGGUGCGAGCGUUGUCCGGAAUUACUGGGCGUAAAGAGCUCGUAGGUGGUUUGUCGCGUUGUUCGUGAAAUCUCACGGCUUAACUGUGAGCGUGCGGGCGAUACGGGCAGACUAGAGUACUGCAGGGGAGACUGGAAUUCCUGGUGUAGCGGUGGAAUGCGCAGAUAUCAGGAGGAACACCGGUGGCGAAGGCGGGUCUCUGGGCAGUAACUGACGCUGAGGAGCGAAAGCGUGGGGAGCGAACAGGAUUAGAUACCCUGGUAGUCCACGCCGUAAACGGUGGGUACUAGGUGUGGGUUUCCUUCCUUGGGAUCCGUGCCGUAGCUAACGCAUUAAGUACCCCGCCUGGGGAGUACGGCCGCAAGGCUAAAACUCAAAGGAAUUGACGGGGGCCCGCACAAGCGGCGGAGCAUGUGGAUUAAUUCGAUGCAACGCGAAGAACCUUACCUGGGUUUGACAUGCACAGGACGCGUCUAGAGAUAGGCGUUCCCUUGUGGCCUGUGUGCAGGUGGUGCAUGGCUGUCGUCAGCUCGUGUCGUGAGAUGUUGGGUUAAGUCCCGCAACGAGCGCAACCCUUGUCUCAUGUUGCCAGCGGGUAAUGCCGGGGACUCGUGAGAGACUGCCGGGGUCAACUCGGAGGAAGGUGGGGAUGACGUCAAGUCAUCAUGCCCCUUAUGUCCAGGGCUUCACACAUGCUACAAUGGCCGGUACAAAGGGCUGCGAUGCCGCAAGGUUAAGCGAAUCCUUUUAAAGCCGGUCUCAGUUCGGAUUGGGGUCUGCAACUCGACCCCAUGAAGUCGGAGUCGCUAGUAAUCGCAGAUCAGCAACGCUGCGGUGAAUACGUUCCCGGGCCUUGUACACACCGCCCGUCACGUCAUGAAAGUCGGUAACACCCGAAGCCAGUGGCCUAACCUUUUGGAGGGAGCUGUCGAAGGUGGGAUCGGCGAUUGGGACGAAGUCGUAACAAGGUAACCA
rnacentral:rRNA from 1 species